AAAUUUAUUGAAGGCAUUUUUAUCUUAGGCAUUUCAAAUCCUCCCUUUGGUCCUUCAAUAUCAACUUCUGGACCUUUGAUGUCUAUUUGAGGUGAUUUGAUAUCUCCUUUGAUGUUUGAACUUGAAACAUCCAUGUCACCUUUGAGUUUGGGGCCUUUCAAGUUGAAAUCCACAUCUGGCAUGGAUAUUUUUGGUCCA